GCUCCGGUGGCCUAGUGGUUAGAGUGUCCGCCUCGGAUGCAGGAGGUACUAGGUUCGAACCCCGGGCGAGUCA